rnacentral:rRNA from 1 species
AUCAACACCCAAUGCUAUUGCAAAUUAUUAACUGUACACUUUAAUAUUCCAAAAUUAGGAUGCUGACAGUGCAAUCUGGUGCCUAAUUAUAUCACUAUGCUACACUUUAGGGCCUUGAGAAUGAUGCCUACAAGAAAGAGGAGCAAUUGUCAUGCCCACUGUAGACUACAUCUGUUCUAAGAGCUAGUAUCUUAUUAGUUAGUGUAGCCCUAACCUCACUAGUACUUAAAGCCAUGCUGGCCUUCUCCCACAGAAGGUCAGUGAUGAGUUCUUCUCUUACUGUGCAUAUAGCAAUACUACUUUGAUACUAUAAGUGCAACUUAGUUAUCUUUCUUACACUGUAGGCUUGAUACAUUGUCCUUUAGCACCUAUCUUAUAGGCUGCCACCUUACAGGUUAAAAGCACCUUGAAAAGGGAGUUAAAUAGCAUGUGAAAUUGUUGAAAGGGAAGCACUUGCAACCAGACUUGGUUCUGGGGGCUCAGCAGGCAUGCAUGCCCAUGUACUCCCCCAUCUCUGGGCCAGCAUCAGUUCAAGUGGCCAGUCAAAGGCCCUGGGAACAUAUCAUCCUCUGGGAUGCCUUAUAGCUUGGGGUGCAAUGCAGCCAGCUUGGACUGGGAAACACACCUUGGCAUGGAUGCUGGCAUAAUGGUUGUAAGCAACCUGUCUUGAAACAUGGACCAAGAAGUCUAACAUCCAUGCAAGUGUUUGAGUGUCAAACCUGUGCGUGCAGUGAAAGUGAAUGAAGGUGGAAGUCCAUGAGGGUGCACCAUCAACUGAUCCUGAAGUCUUUGGAUGGAUUUGAGUAAGAGUGUGGCUGUUGGGACCUGAAAGAUGAUGAACUAUGCCUGAAUAGGGUGAAGUCAGAGGAAACUCUGAUGGAGGCUUGCAGUGGUUCUGACAUGGAAAUUGAUUGUUAAAUUUGAAUAUAGAGGCAAAAGACUAAUUGAACCAUCUGAUAGCUGGUUCCUGCCAAAGUUUCCCUCAGGAUAGCAGUAAUGUUUUCAGUUUUAUGAGAUAAAGCAAAUGAUUAGAGACCUUGAGGUUGAAACAAUCUUAACCUAUUCUCAAACUUUAAAUAUGUAAGAAGCCUUUGUUGCUUAAGUAAAUGUGGGCAUUAGAAUGGAUCAUUACUAGUGGGCCAUUUUUGGUAAGCAGAACUGAUGAUGUGGGAUGAACCAAACAUGAGAUUAAGAUGCCAGAAUGCAUGCUCAUCAGACACCACAAAAGAUGUUAGUUCAUCUAGACAGCCCAACAGUGGCCAUGGAAGUUGGAAUCCACUAAGGAGUGUGUAACAACUCACAGAUCAAAUGAACUAGCCCUGAAAAUGGAUGGUGCUCAAGCAUGCUACCCAUACCUCACCAUCAGGGUAGAAAUAACACCCCAACAAGUAGGCAGGUGUGGAGAUAGAUGACAAAGCCCUGGGAGUGAUUCUGGGUUGAACAGCCUCUAGUGCAGAUCUUGGUGGUAGUAGUAAAUACUUCAAUAUGAACUUUGAAGACUGAAGUGGAGAAAGAUUCCAUGUGAACAGCAGUUGAACAUGAGUUAGUCAAUUCUAAGACAUGGAGUAGUUCUGUUUAGAAGCAUGCUCUGGUGUGCAAUUCAUUGAAAGAGAAGCCAGUUAAUAUUCCAGCAUCUGGAUGUGGAUUCUUCAUGGCAACAUAACUGAAUGCUGAGACAUCAGCAGAAGUUCUGGGAAGAGUUCUCUUUUCUUCUUGACAGCCCAUCACUCUGAAAUCAGUUUGUCUGGAGCUAGGGUUUCAUGGUCAGCAGAGUUCCACACCUUUGAAGAGUCCAGUGCACUCUCAAUGAUCCUUGAAAAUCUGCAGAAAGAAAUAGUUUUCACACCAGAUUGUACUCAUAAUCACAGCAGAUCUUCAAGGUGAAAAGCCUCUAGUUGAUAGAACAAUGUAGAUAAGGAAAGUCAGCAAAAUAGAUCCAUAAUUUCAGGAAAAGGAUUGACUCUAAGAGUCAGAUGUGUUGGGUCUUGGGGGAAAGUCUUCAGAGCAGAAGAGCACUAGCCAGGCAACUGAUGGGCAUCCCCCAGCAUCAGGGCGUGGACGCCCUUGGCAGGCUUUGGCUGUUCGGCGCGCACUUAACAACCAACUUAGAACUGGUAUGGACAAGGGGAAUCUGACUGUCUAAUUAAAACAUAGCAUUGCGAUGGCCAGAAAGUGGUGUUGAUGCAAUGUGAUUUCUGCCCAGUGCUCUGAAUGUCAAAGUGAAGAAAUUCAACCAAGCGCGGGUAAACGGCGGGAGUAACUAUGACUCUCUUAAGGUAGCCAAAUGCCUCGUCAUCUAAUUAGUGACGCGCAUGAAUGGAUUAACGAGAUUCCCACUGUCCCUAUCUACUAUCUAGUGAAACCACAGCCAAGGGAAU